UGGCUUCUACAUUGGAAUAAAUGACUGAAUUAUUGGCGUAGAUUCCUCAUAUGCACGACGACGGAGUAGGACCACAUUUUUAUGUGUAAACAAAUUAAUUCCAUUUAUUACUUGAACCAGCAGCAAAAAUAAAAUAAAGAUAAAUGUAAAUAUGCAAUGCUACUCUAUCGGUUCCAUAUUAAGUGUCUCCCACAUUUUAAGAAAAAUAAUUAUCCUCUAUUGUAAAGUGUAAAAUUAAAAUUAAAUUAUUAAAUUACCCU
rnacentral:lncRNA from 1 species